UACAGAGGGUGCAAGCGUUAAUUGGAAUUACUGGGCGUAAAGCGUGCGUAGGCGGUUUUGUAAGUCUGAUGUGAAAUCCCCGGGCUUAACCUGGGAAUUGCAUUGGAGACUGCAAGGCUGGAGUCUGGCAGAGGGGGGUAGAAUUCCACGUGUAGCAGUGAAAUGCGUAGAGAUGUGGAGGAAUGACCGAUGGCGAAGGCAGCCCCCUGGGCCAAUACUGACGCUCAUGCACGAAAGCGUGGGGAGCAAACAGG
rnacentral:rRNA from 1 species